rnacentral:rRNA from 1 species
UACGGGGGGUGCAAGCGUUGUUCGGAAUUACUGGGCGUAAAGGGUUUGUAGGUGGCUUGCUCAGUCAGACGUGAAAUCCCUCAGCUUAACUGGGGAACUGCGUCUGAUACUAUCGAGCUUGAGUGCAGGAGAGGAACGCGGAAUUCCAGGUGUAGCGGUGAAAUGCGUAGAUAUCUGGAGGAACACCGGUGGCGAAGGCGGCGUUCUGGACUGCAACUGACACUGAAAAACGAAAGCCAGGGGAGCAAACGGG